rnacentral:misc_RNA from 1 species
GAUGAAGAACGCAGCGAAAUGCGAUAAGUAAUGUGAAUUGCAGAAUUCAGUGAAUCAUCGAAUCUUUGAACGCACCUUGCGCCCUUUGGCUAUUCCGAAGGGCAUGCCUGUUUGAGUAUCAUGAACACCUCAACUCUUCACGGCUUGCCGUGAUGAGUUUGGACUUUGGGGGUCUUGCUGGCCUACGAGCCAGCUCCUCUCAAAUGUAUUAGCUUGCCGGUGUUUGGUGGCAUCACAGGUGUGAUAACUAUCUAUGCUUGUGGUUUUCCACUAGGUAACCUUCAGCAAUGGAGGUUCACCGGAGCUCACAAAUGUCUCUCCUUGCCAAGGACAGAUUUUGACCAUUUGAUCUCAAAUCAGGUAGGACUACCCGCUGAACUUAAGCAUACAAUAAGCGGAGGA